GCGGCGUGCCUAAUACAUGCAAGUCGAACGCUUCUUUCCUCCCGAGUGCUUGCACUCAAUUGGAAAGAGGGGUGGCGGACGGGUGAGUAACACGUGGGUAACCUACCCAUCAGAGGGGGAUAACACUUGGAAACAGGUGCUAAUACCGCAUAACAGUUUAUGUCGCAUGGCAUAAGAGUGAAAGGCGCUUUCGGGUGUCGCUGAUGGAUGGACCCGCGGUGCAUUAGCUAGUUGGUGAGGUAACGGCUCACCAAGGCCACGAUGCAUAGCCGACCUGAGAGGGUGAUCGGCCACACUGGGACUGAGACACGGCCCAGACUCCUACGGGAGGCAGCAGUAGGGAAUCUUCGGCAAUGGACGAAAGUCUGACCGAGCAACGCCGCGUGAGUGAAGAAGGUUUUCGGAUCGUAAAACUCUGUUGUUAGAGAAGAACAAGGACGUUAGUAACUGAACGUCCCCUGACGGUAUCUAACCAGAAAGCCACGGCUAACUACGUGCCAGCAGCCGCGGUAAUACGUAGGUGGCAAGCGUUGUCCGGAUUUAUUGGGCGUAAAGCGAGCGCAGGCGGUUUCUUAAGUCUGAUGUGAAAGCCCCCGGCUCAACCGGGGAGGGUCAUUGGAAACUGGGAGACUUGAGUGCAGAAGAGGAGAGUGGAAUUCCAUGUGUAGCGGUGAAAUGCGUAGAUAUAUGGAGGAACACCAGUGGCGAAGGCGGCUC
rnacentral:rRNA from 1 species